GGUGCCAUAGCUCAGUUGGUAGAGCAAAGUACUGAAAAUCAUUGUGUCCCCGGUUCGAUUCCUGGUGGCACCA
rnacentral:tRNA from 1 species